rnacentral:rRNA from 1 species
CAGUAGCCGCGGUAAAACGAAGGGGGCUAGCGUUGUUCGGAAUUACUGGGCGUAAAGCGCACGUAGGCGGACAUUUAAGUCAGGGGUGAAAUCCCGGGGCUCAACCCCGGAACUGCCUUUGAUACUGGGUGUCUAGAGUAUGGAAGAGGUGAGUGGAAUUCCGAGUGUAGAGGUGAAAUUCGUAGAUAUUCGGAGGAACACCAGUGGCGAAGGCGGCUCACUGGUCCAUUACUGACGCUGAGGUGCGAAAGCGUGGGGAGCAAACAGGAUUAGAUACCCGCGUAGUCCCUGUCUCUUAUAC